GGGGAUGUAGCUCAGUGGUAGAUCAUCUGCCUAGCAUGCAGGAAGCCAUGAGUUCCAUCCCUA
rnacentral:tRNA from 1 species